GCUGCGGCGCGGCUUCUUGCCCAGGAGGGAGCGCAGGCAGGCGGAGCGGCAGCCCCAGUAGCACGAGGAGGUGUUGCAGCAGUGGCAGAUGUGCAGCGAGCUGCUCUCGCCGGGCUCGUCGCCGCCGCCGCCGCCGCCGCCGCCGCAGCCGCCUCCCCCGGGCUCCCCGUCCUCCUCGCCGCCACUGCCCACCGCCUCGUCCAGGUUGUGCAGCUGGGCGAAGCCCACCCCCACGCCACCGCCAUCGGAUUUCGCCGCCAUCUUGACUCUCUUCCCAGCUCCGGAGGAGAUCUACUUUGUGUUUAAAUCACAGCUCUGUCGUUAACCAGCUAUAGGAUUUGGAGGAAGGAACUGUGACUUGAUUCUAACCCAUAGAAUACGGCAAAGGCAACGUCAUGUCGCUCUCCUGGAUUACACUGCAUUAGAUAAGACUCUAUCAUAGCAGUCUGGAGCUGAAGACUCUCUUUGUGGGCUGGAUGAAGCCAGCAGCCGCGUUGGAGGAGCCCAGGUGACAAGGUGACCUCUAGAACUGGGAACCCACCUCCUAACAACAGCAAGAAGCUGGGACCCUCAGUAAUAUAACCCCAAGGAAAUGAUUUCUACCAACUUGAAUGACCUGGGUAGCAGAUUCUUCCCCAGCUGAGCCUCCAAAUGAGAAUGUGUCCCAGCCAACAGCUUGAUUAUAGGAGUGUGAGAGCCGAGCAGAGGACCCAGCCAAGCUGUGCCUGAACUCCUGCCCAACAGAAACUGUGAGAUAAUAAAUAUGUGUUGUUUUAAG
rnacentral:lncRNA from 1 species